GACGAACGCUGGCGGCGUGCUUAACACAUGCAAGUCGAACGGAAAGGCGCUGCUUGGUUUGGGGGCGCGAGGGGCGAACGGGUGAGUAACACGGGAGUAACCUGCCCUUCGCGGGGUGAUUACGUCAGGACACUGGUGCUAAUACCUGAUCGCAACGCCGGCAGCAAGGUGGUGGUUGGAAAGUUUCGGUGUUUGGGGAUGGACUCGCGGCUUAUCAGCUGGUUGGUGGGGUACUGGCUUACCAAGGCUUUGACGGGUGGCCGGCAUGGGAGGGGGACCGGCCCCAUUGGGCCUGCGAUACGGCCCAGACGGCAAGGGGAGGCAGAAGUGGGGAAUAUGGCACAAUGGGCGGGAGCCUGAUGCAGCGACGCCGGGUGCGGGAUGACGGUCUUCGGGUUGUAAACCGUUUUCGGCUGUGACGAAGCGUGAGUGACGGUAAUGGGUAAAGAAGCACCGGCUAACUACGUG
rnacentral:rRNA from 1 species